GGAGGGUAUAGCUCAGUGGAAGAGCACUUGCUUAUUAUGCACGAGGUCCUGGGUUCAACCCCCAGUACCUCUG